rnacentral:rRNA from 1 species
GACGAACGCUGGCGGCGUGCCUAAUACAUGCAAGUCGAACGAGAGCAACCGGUGCUUGCACUGGUCAAUCUAGUGGCGAACGGGUGAGUAACACGUGGGUAACCUGCCCAUCAGAGGGGGAUAACAUCCGGAAACGGAUGCUAAAACCGCAUAGGUCUUCGAACCGCAUGGUUUGAAGAGGAAAAGAGGCGCAAGCUUCUGCUGAUGGAUGGACCCGCGGUGCAUUAGCUAGUUGGUGAGGUAACGGCUCACCAAGGCCGUGAUGCAUAGCCGACCUGAGAGGGUCAUCGGCCACAUUGGGACUGAGACACGGCCCAAACUCCUACGGGAGGCAGCAGUAGGGAAUCUUCCGCAAUGGACGCAAGUCUGACGGAGCAACGCCGCGUGAGUGGAGAAGGUUUUCGGAUCGUAAAACUCUGUUGUUAGAGAAGAACAAGUGCUAGAGUAACUGUUAGCGCCUUGACGGUAUCUAACCAGAAAGCCACGGCUAACUACGUG